rnacentral:SRP_RNA from 1 species
GGUCAAGCACUGUACAACUGUAGGCUGCCCAACCCCGCCAGGUCCGGAAGGAAGCAACGGCCCGCAUCUGAAGGUGUGAUACAGCACGCUUGACCUUU